rfam:Neurospora crassa OR74A unplaced genomic scaffold supercont12.8, whole genome shotgun sequence.
AAUUUUUAAUAACGGAUCUCUUAGUUUUGGCAUUAAUAAAGAACGUAGCGAAAUACGAUAAGUAAUAUAAAUUAUAGAAUUUAGUAAAUUAUUGAAUUUUUAAAUAUAUAUUGUAUUUACUAGUAUUUUAGCAAGUAUGUUUAUUCGAACGUUA